ACGAACGCUGGCGGCGUGCUUAACACAUGCAGGUCGAACGGAAAGGCCCUGCUUUUGUGGGGUGCUCGAGUGGCGAACGGGUGAGUAACACGUGAGUAACCUGCCCUUGACUUUGGGAUAACUUCAGGAAACUGGGGCUAAUACCGGAUAGGAGCUCCUGCUGCAUGGUGGGGGUUGGAAAGUUUCGGCGGUUGGGGAUGGACUCGCGGCUUAUCAGCUUGUUGGUGGGGUAGUGGCUUACCAAGGCUUUGACGGGUAGCCGGCCUGAGAGGGUGACCGGCCACAUUGGGACUGAGAUACGGCCCAGCCUCCUACGGGAGGCAGCAGUGGGGAAUAUUGCACAAUGGGCGGAAGCCUGAUGCAGCAACGCCGCGUGCGGGAUGACGGCCUUCGGGUUGUAAACCGCUUUCGCCUGUGACGAAGCGUGAGUGACGGUAAUGGGUAAAGAAGCACCGGCUAACUACGUG
rnacentral:rRNA from 1 species